ensembl:snoRNA
GGGCCUGAGUUCAAUCCCCGGUUCCACCAACAAAAACAAAGAAAAAGCACAAAUGCAUGUGAAAACAACCUGGAGAGACUUUGACAGCUCAGGUCAACCCAAUACCUGUGCCUGCCACUCAUUUUUCCUAUAAGA